UACGUAGGGUGCGAGCGUUGUCCGGAUUUAUUGGGCGUAAAGAGCUUGUAGGCGGUUUGUCGCGUCUGCUGUGAAAACUCGGGGCUUAACCCCGGGCCUGCAGUGGGUACGGGCAGACUAGAGUGCGGUAGGGGAGACUGGAAUUCCUGGUGUAGCGGUGAAAUGCGCAGAUAUCAGGAGGAACACCGGUGGCGAAGGCGGGUCUCUGGGCCGUAACUGACGCUGAGGAGCGAAAGCGUGGGGAGCGAACAGG
rnacentral:rRNA from 1 species